GACGAACGCUGGCGGCGUGCUUAACACAUGCAAGUCGAACGGAAAGGCCCUGCUUUUGUGGGGUGCUCGAGUGGCGAACGGGUGAGUAACACGUGAGUAACCUGCCCUUGACUUUGGGAUAACUUCAGGAAACUGGGGCUAAUACCGGAUAGGAGCUCCUGCUGCAUGGUGGGGGUUGGAAAGUUUCGGCGGUUGGGGAUGGACUCGCGGCUUAUCAGCUUGUUGGUGGGGUAGUGGCUUACCAAGGCUUUGACGGGUAGCCGGCCUGAGAGGGUGACCGGCCACAUAGGGAUAGAGAAAGCGGCAAGGCUGCUACGGGAGGCAGCAGUGAGGAAUAUUGCACACUGGGCGGAAGGCUGAUGGAGCAACGCCGCGUGCGAGAUGACGGUCUUCGGGUUGUAAACCGCUUUCGCCUGUGACGAAGAGUGAGUGACGGUACUGGGUAAAGAAGCACCGGCUAACUACGUG
rnacentral:rRNA from 1 species